UACGAAGGGUGCAAGCGUUAAUCGGAAUUACUGGGCGUAAAGCGUGCGUAGGCGGUUGGUUAAGUCUGUCGUGAAAGCCCUGGGCUCAACCUGGGAAUGGCGAUGGAUACUGGCCAGCUAGAGUGUGAUAGAGGAUGGCGGAAUUCCCGGUGUAGCAGUGAAAUGCGUAGAUAUCGGGAGGAACAUCCGUGGCGAAGGCGGCCACCUGGACCAGCACUGACACUGAGGCACGAAAGCGUGGGGAGCAAACAGG
rnacentral:rRNA from 1 species